AAACCUUAUAAAAGCUCUUUUUCUCUUUGUAGUGGGGAAUUUGUAGAAGGGAGGAGGGUGCAGCAGACUAUAAUUCUGUUGGAGCAGACAAUUCAGACAGAUCCACUGCAGGGGGAUUACUUCUGCUGAGGCUCAUGUGAAACCCACUGAUACACAGUGGAUACAGAGAAGCCAAGAGACAGAUGGACAUUGAAGUGCUCUGGAAGGUGACAUAUCAUUUUAUGUCAAAGGCUUAUGCUCAACUUUGUAAGGAAGCAUGGUGCUACCCCUAAGUUAAGGAAGAUGAACUGUUUUGAAUAUGAAGAUGUGGCACACAGCAGUAGAACAAAGUUAUUUUGUGCUCUGUUUGCCUGCAAGAUUUGAGGUAGUUUGAAACAACUUUUGCAAAAACACCUUGCCUGGGGUUGCAAUCACACUUAGUAAGAAUUAGUGAUUUUGUCAGCUACAAUUUAGAAAUACUUGCUGAAGGUUUGAGAAUGCGGAACACUAUACAGGCAAGAAAAUGGAGUACCUAUCCAUCAUGUUAAUGUAUCCUCUUUUUCCAUUAAAAAAUUGAGCAGUCCCCAUCAAGUGGGGGUGUGCCCCUCUGUGUGUUCCCUAUUAAUUCCUCUCAGACUUGGAGGUCUCGGCCUAAUUUGUUUUUAAGAGCAUCACAAGGUUUCCCUAUUGACCCCUGAAUAGGGAAACAGCCUCCAGCCAGAAGUUUGCUUCAUGACAACCCUCCAAUAUUUCCCUCUAAGCAGCACUGAAUGAGGCAAUAGUGUUUUGGAGGGCAAAGUAACUGUGUAAGUAAUGACAACAAAACACUCAUCUCCUUCCUACCAUGGUGUACUUUUGUGCCAGAGGCUUUUUGCUGUUAUGGUUCCUACAGUGAGCUGGUCAGGAUUGUUUUCUUUCCUCUUUAGAAUGUGGAAGUUGACACGUGCACUGAAAGCACUAGAGGGGCACUUCUCAGCUCCCUGUUCUCAAUAGGAUUCAAAGUCCAACUUGGCUGUUUGCCCUGGGCUGAAGCAUGCAAAGAUUAGAGGAGUUGUGUGCAGAUAGCAGCUUUAGACAACUUAACCCAUCAUCUAACCUGCCA